AUAAGAUCCGUAGUCGAAAGGGAAACAGCCCAGACCACCAGUUAAGGUCCCCAAAUAUAUGUUAAGUGGAAAAGGAUGUGGGGUUGCUUAGACAACCAGGAUGUUGGCUUAGAAGCAGCCACCAUUGAAAGAGUGCGUAAUAGCUCACUGGUCGAGUGACCCCGCGCCGAAAAUGUACCGGGGCUAAACAUAUUACCGAAACUGUGGAUGAACCUCUUUAGAGGUUCGUGGUAGGAGAGCGUUCUAAGGGCGGUGAAGUCAGACCGGAAGGACUGGUGGAGCGCUUAGAAGUGAGAAUGCCGGUAUGAGUAGCGAAAGAAGGGUGAGAAUCCCUUCCACCGAAUAUCUAAGGUUUCCUGAGGAAGGCUCGUCCGCUCAGGGUUAGUCGGGACCUAAGCCGAGGCCGAUAGGCGUAGGCGAUGGACAACAGGUAGAGAUUCCUGUACCAGUGCUAAUUGUUUAACCGAUGGGGUGACACAGAAGGAUAGGGAAUCGCACGAAUGGAAAUGUGCGUCCAAGCAGUGAGUGUGAGAAGUAGGCAAAUCCGCUUCUCGCGAAGCAUGAGCUGUGAUGGGGAAGGAAAUUAAGUACGGAAGUUCCUGAUUUCACGCUGUCAAGAAAAGCCUCUAGGAAGAGUAGUACUGCCCGUACCGCAAACCGACACAGGUAGAUGAGGAGAGAAUCCUAAGGUGAGCGAGAGAACUCUCGUUAAGGAACUCGGCAAAAUGACCCCGUAACUUCGGGAGAAGGGGUGCUCUAUUAGGGUGCAAGCCCGAGAGAGCCGCAGUGAAUAGGCCCAGGCGACUGUUUAGCAAAAACACAGGUCUCUGCAAAACCGUAAGGUGACGUAUAGGGGCUGACGCCUGCCCGGUGCUGGAAGGUUAAGAGGAGUGCUUAGCUUCGGCGAAGGUACGAAUUGAAGCCCCAGUAAACGGCGGCCGUAACUAUAACGGUCCUAAGGUAGCGAAAUUCCUUGUCGGGUAAGUUCCGACCCGCACGAAAGGCGCAACGAUCUGGGCACUGUCUCAACGAGAGACUCGGUGAAAUUAUAGUACCUGUGAAGAUGCAGGUUACCCGCGACAGGACGGAAAGACCCCGUGGAGCUUUACUGCAACCUGAUAUGGAAUGUUUGUACCGCUUGUACAGGAUAGGUAGGAGCCGAAGAGACGUGUGCGCUAGCAUACGAGGAGGCAAUGGUGGGAUACUACCCUGGCUGUAUGACCAUUCUAACCCGCCACGCUUAGCGCGUGGGGAGACAGUGUCAGGUGGGCAGUUUGACUGGGGCGGUCGCCUCCUAAAGAGUAACGGAGGCGCCCAAAGGUUCCCUCAGAAUGGAUGGAAAUCAUUCGCAGAGUGUAAAGGCACAAGGGAGCUUGACUGCGAGACUGACAAGUCGAGCAGGGACGAAAGUCGGGCUUAGUGAUCCGGUGGUUCCGCAUGGAAGGGCCAUCGCUCAACGGAUAAAAGCUACCCCGGGGAUAACAGGCUUAUCUCCCCCAAGAGUCCACAUCGACGGGGAGGUUUGGCACCUCGAUGUCGGCUC
rnacentral:rRNA from 1 species